rnacentral:lncRNA from 1 species
CCAGGCAGGCCACAAUAAUGGCCACGAUUCUGCUCCACUCCCUGCGGCGGACCCUACGCAGCUCCAUUACUCCCUGGCAGGCCCUAAUAAUGGCCACGAUUCUGCUCCACACCUUGCGGCGGACCCUACGCAGCUCCAUUACUCCCUGGCAGGCCCUCAUAAUGGCCACGAUCCUGCUCCACUUCCUGCGACGGAUACCACACGAUUCUCCCAUUCUCUG